rnacentral:lncRNA from 1 species
UCAUGCCCCGAACCUAUCAUCUAGGUUGACCAUAUGACAUGGAUGCAUGAACCCUCAAAUAAGUCCUAGAGAUCAUGCAAUAUAUAUUUCGCGACUCUGAAAAAGAGUAAAGAAUUGUGUUGCAUCAUUCAUUAUUGAGCAUAUCGAAGAUUGGACAUUGCGACAGGGCAACAUCUGCCCGUAGGCCCUGCAGGAUCUUUGUCUUAUGAUCUUUUAGACUGUACUCACACUAGAGUGGUAUGAUCAUCUGCAUAUAUCAAAAG